rnacentral:misc_RNA from 1 species
AUUUUUUCUCUGACUGCAUCGCUGCAUCUAAGCUUUGCGUUACGAAGUCAUGUCGUAUUAUGAUGUCAGAGUGAUGUCAUUCCUUUAUAGACACUCGAUAUUUGUACAUUGUGUAAAACUUUGCGGUGAAUAUUAUAAAUAAUUUACAAUUGCGUUUCUUUUUUUAAACUCGUGGCAACCGAAUAAAUAUGCAUUUGCGCGCAUGCAUAAUCGUACACUUGUAUUCGUUGUAUCGCGUUAAAACGAUAGCAACACUUUUAGAAUAGUCGAAGAGAGCUAAUGAAAACGUCUAUGUAUAAACAGCGCGAUGUUUGUCAGUUAGAAAUUUUCAGAAUUUUCACCAAUGUCUGGUUAUUUUUGACUUAUGUGUACACGUGAAACGUUAUUUCCACAGAUUACGUGAAUUUUUAUCGCGUUUUAACAACGCAAGAUAUAAAUUCGAUUUCACCAUCGCGUACGAUGUUACAGAUGACGAAAAGAUACAUACUAUCGCGAUUGCGUACGUAUUACAAAAUACGAGAGAUUAUAAAAUCUUUACUAUCGGUGCGAUCAAUAAAAUUAAAAGUGGUGAGAAAGAGAGUUCAACGACAUGGAUUUAUCAGUGGUCAUCUGUAGAGGAUAAUCUGAGGUUUCAUCACGCGCAGUUCGUCGUUGUAACGACAGCAACGCAGUCAAUAACCAAACUAUCUACUCUAGAUGCCAAGCCUCCUGUGACCGUUAUCUCGUAUUCCCUUAUCGCGAAAAGCCCGAUAAAAUGGCACGCCAUUAUGCGAUCAUUGGAUUCGUAUUAUAGUAUGAAUAGCCAUUGUUUAUAUCGUUUGGCUUAAGCAAUUUCGCUUAAUUGCAUCCGAAGAUUGCAAUUCAUGUGCUUCCACAACGAAUCAAAGUCGUUGAUCAACAACGAUUAUGAUAAAGAAGAUAAAAUUGGUGAAUGGCGGCGUUAAGAUUGCCACGAAAGAAAAAAACGAGAAAAUCGUGUCUACGAUAUCUCGUACAAUUGCUUUCGAACGGAAUCUUUUAAAUUCUCAGUUUGUUAUGUAAAAGAUUAGGAAGGCGAUUGUAAAAUAAAAGUGUAAAAUUAUCAGUUGAAUAGGUUUAAAAAUUAGUUUGC